AAUUCUGUGGAAGGCCAAAAAGAUGCAUAAGGUUAUUGUAGUAGAGCAUUUGGUAUAUAGAGGAACAUUUCCAGCCUGUUCCAAGAAAGAGGUGUUAGAAGAACUGUUCGUCAGGUGGCACAGGAGCAGUUCUUUUUAAUGUGCACCAGAUGUUGCAUGGGACACCGGCCUCUACUUUUCUUCAUUACUCUACUCUUUACUGUUUUGGGGAGCACAGCAAGAGAGAGAGCUAAACACUCAGGCGACUACUUUACUCUUUUAAGACACCUUCUUAAUUACGCUUACAAUAGUAAUAUUAAUGUACCCAAUGCUGAAGUUCUUCUCAAUAAUGAAAUUGAUUGGCUUAAAAGAAUUAGGGAUGAUGUUAAAAGAACAGGAGAAACGGGUAUUGAAGAGACGAUCUUAGAGGGCCACCUUGGAGUGACAAAGGAGUUACUGGCCUUUCAAACUUCUGAGAAAAAAUUUCAUAUUGGUUGUGAAAAAGGAGGUGCUAAUCUCAUUAAAGAAUUAAUUGAUGAUUUCAUAUUUCCUGCAUCCAAUGUUUACCU
rnacentral:sRNA from 1 species